rnacentral:lncRNA from 1 species
UGAGGAUGCUCAAGUCUUUUAUAUAAAAUGGCACAAUAUUUGCAUAUAUCCUAUGCACAUCAUCUUUAAAUCAUCUCUAGAUUACCUAAUACAAUGUAGAUGCUACAUAAUCAUUAUACUGUAUUAUUUAAGGAAUAAUGACAAUAAAAAAGAAAACCUGUACAUGUCCAGCACAGACACAAUUGUUUUUCAAAUAUUUUCAACUCACUCUUGGUUGAAUCCAUGGAUGCAGAACCCAUGGAUGUGGAGGGUUGACUGUAAAUAUAUAUAUGUCUCAUUAGCUGUGCUAUGUCCCGGGUAACUGCCUCAGACAGCUCUCUUCUAGUGCACUAAUUCUCUUCAUCUAUGUCUCACUUGUAUUUUAACACCCUCCAACCAAGUUGUUAAUUUUUUUUUUUGAGACAGUGUCUCACUGUGUCGCUCAGGCAAGAGUACAACGGUGCCAUCUUGACUCACUGCGAGCGCCAUCUCCCGGGUUCAAGCGAAUCUCCUGCCCCAGCCACCUGAGUAGCUGGGAUUACAGGUGAGGGGGGCGGAUCACCUGAAGCCGGGAGUUCGAGACCAGCCUGACCAACAUGGAGAAAUCCCGUCUCUACCAAAAAUACAAAAUUAGCCAGGCAUGGUGGCGCAUGCCUGUAAUCUCAGCUACUCAGGAGGAUGAGGCAGGAGAAUUGCUUGAACCCAGAAGGCGGAGGUUGCAGUGAGCCGAGAUCACACCAUUGCACUCCAGCCUGGGCAACAAGAGCAAAACUCUGUCUCAAAAAAAACAAAAACAAAAACAAAAAACAAAAAAACUACAAAAAGUAUAUUAAGAACUACAAAAAG